rnacentral:lncRNA from 1 species
UUUUUGCUUGAUUAGAGAUCUAGCUCUCUGCCAUUGGCACAAGAAUGGCAACUUAAAGGCGUAUCAUCGGAGAAAACGCUAAUUACGUAAUAUGUUGUCCUGAAAGAAACUUGUUUUCAGGUGGACUUGUUCCCACCUUCCGGGAUCCCAAAUGCUAGUACCACGUAUCAUCAGCUUAAUAUUUGCAGCUGCGAAGCUUUUUAAUGCUUCAUUUUGAAUUAAUUGAGCAGUUCUUUGACUUGAAUGCUUGCCUCCCACUUUCAUGUUUUCUUUCUUGUUUUCUGCAAACACUGCUAGUCCUAAGACCACGUUAGGCUAUUGUAGUUGAUCGUAGGCCAGGCCUCAAUUUAUGAAUGAGGAAAUGCUGAUCGAAUAGUUUCCUUCAGCUACCAUGCUUGAAGAAAAUGUAUUCUGUGUCCUCUACAUAUAUCCUUCCUUCAAGCCCCAUUUCUAAGAUUCAACCAGAUAGGGAAAGAAUAACCUUACCUUUCACUACGACCUUUCAUAAUGAUUAAAAAAUCAAUAUGACUUUUAAGAAUUUUAACCUUUUUUUUUUUAUAAAUUCAAAAAUCAACAUAAAGCUCACUACUGUUUUAUUGUAAAUAAUUUAGUUCAGCUUAUUUUUUUCGAUCACCUACUCAACUUUUGAAACAGGAUACAUUAUUGCCUUAAUAAACAUGGCAAUUUCCCUUUAACGGGAAAUCAUAAAAUAAAGGAAAAAAAGUCUUGCUCCUAAAGCUAGGAGGGCCAGUAGGGACUGAAUCACCACCAGAUCUAAUGUGACAAUUAGUGGGAUGCAAGGUUUAAAUGACUUAGUAACGGCCACCAGCCUUGUGGUUAAAAAAAUCAAGAAGCAGAAAUAUAAUCGCAAAAGCUGGUCAUAAGGAUGCAAAUAUUGUCUUUUUUUUGUCGAAAUAAUAGACCUAUAAUUAUGGAUGCAAAUAUUGUCUUUUUUUUGUCGAAAUAAUAGACCUAUAAUUAUUCUAUACUACGAUGAGAAAGAUAUGAAGAGAUCAAGAAAAAAUCGAAGAAACCGAACCACCUAUCGAUCCAAGCCACUUAAAGUGGCUUGCGACAUUUUGUAGCGAAUGGUGGGAGGCGAUAACCGAGCUUGUAAGGAUGCAAAUAUUGUCGAUGUCUUAAAAUGUCAAAAGAAAGUGAGUUUGUUUGGAUAAGAGUUUAUUUAGAUGAUUUAUUUGAGAUAUUUACUGUAGCACUUUUUGUGAUGUGAUGUAUGUGAGAUAAAAAGGUGAUUGGGAAGAUAAAAAGAUGAUUGGGAUUUUGGGUAGUCGCAAAUUGCAAUUUGCGUCCUUCGUCAUGGAUAACGUCCCACAAAAACUUUUAUAUAUAAACCUGGCACUGCCAAAAGUGGUUGCAAUUUUCGUUUGCUGACUGACCUGUGACCAGCCCACCAGUCCACCUAACGUAUCCCAGCGUAUCCCCAUUUCUCAUCUUCCCCAAUUGUUCUGCUGGUGGGGCAGCCCCAAAACUGAGCUGUGAAGUGAAGGGGCCAACAAAACCAAACCCCUCCCUCCACCCCAAUUUCCUAUAUAAUAUAAUUACGACCCUUCACAUUUCCACGUACAAGAUUCUAAGAAAGUUAAAAUCUCGAUUUUAUUUUCCAAGUUUGAAUGGCAGUUCUCACUUCAAUCAGGAAGUCCUUAGGCUUUAUCACCAAAAGGGAAUCCUUUUCCAAGAUCCUUUUGGGAACAGGAUGUUUGAGCAAUGUUCCAGAGAACACAGUUUAUGGAGGGCCAAAGCCGCAGGAUCCAAACCAAAGAGUGACACUGACAAAUUUACGCCAAAAGCAUAAAAAGGGGGAGCCCAUAACAAUGGUGACAGCCUAUGAUUAUCCGUCUGCAGUGCAUCUUGACACUGCUGGCAUUGAUAUUUGCCUUGUGGGUGACUCUGCUUCCAUGGUGGUUCAUGGCCAUGACACCACUUUGCCUAUUACUCUUGAAGAAAUGCUUGUUCAUUGCCGUGCCGUGGCAAGAGGCGCCAAGAAUCCACUCCUUGUUGGGGACCUACCUUUUGGUACUUACGAGUCCAGUACUCAUCAGGUGAUGUGCAUGCUUCUCCUUUUGUUGCCCGCAAAAAUAGUACCUUCAGUUUUUACCUUUUUCUGGGUAGUUAUGCAUAUUCUCAGUAUUGUGAUGUUACUAUGAAAGCAACUUCAAUCCCAUUUGUUUUUUAUUCUAUUAUUUGAUGGAGGUUUGCAUUUUAAAAUUUGGUUUUGAGGAAAUAGAGGGGUAAAAAAAGGGAAAUUGGGAAGGCAGACUUUUGAACAGGAAAAAAAUAUGGAAGAAUACGGAUAUACUGAGUCGUCUUACACCCGUCCCUGUCAACUGUUGGCUUUUUAAGUGAAACUGUUGCUGAAAGUCCAUGUUAGGGUUAAUUAUUUCAUAUUAUUCUUUGCAAGGCUCUAGCAAAUUCAUAUUAUGCAGUUUCUGUCAGAAUUAGACGAAAUGUGGUUUCUUUCUCUUUUGAAUGUGCAAUGGUUGGUGAUAUUGCAGUUUGAAUUGUGAGCAGGCAGUUGAUACAGCAGUUAGGAUACUCAAGGAAGGAGGAAUGGAUGCAAUUAAAUUAGAAGCUGGAGCACCAUCAAGAAUUACUGCAGCUAAAGCUAUUGUUGAAGCUGGGAUUGCUGUUAUGGGGCACGUUGGGCUUACUCCUCAGGCUAUUAGCGUUCUGGGAGGAUUUAGACCUCAAGGUCGAAAUGUUGCUGGUGCUGUAAAGGUAAUCUUUUCAUAAUCCUAUCCUUAGCAGGGGAUGCUCUCCCAGGGCUUUGUUUGGUUAUUUUUGGAACUUUAUCUAAAGAGUAAUUAUGUCUUUCUGCAGGUCGUGGAGACUGCCAUAGCAUUGCAGGAAGCAGGUUGUUUCGCUGUUGUUCUGGAAUGUGUUCCUGCACCUGUAGCUGCUGCAGCAACAUCAGCUCUUCAAAUCCCCACUAUUGGCAUUGGUGCAGGUCCAUUUUGUAGUGGUCAGGUUUGUUGCUUUUAAGUUCUGUUUCUUCAUCCCAGGACUGACAAAUAUUGUUAAACAUAUUCCAAAAAUAAGUAAAUGGUUCCAUGAGGUUUUGGUUAGUUACUAAGUCAGUAUUGACAAUUUUCAUUUUCCUUGAUGCAUUUUGUAAAUUGGUUACAUAUUCUCUUCAAAUUGACUGUUAUUGGUUGAAAUAGAGCUUAGGACAAUUUUGAUUGAGUAACAAGAUAAGCAAUAUUCUAAACCUUGAAAGCUGUUUAAUCAGUCUGACUUGCCAUUGAACCUUAACAACUUUGAAGAGCGUCUGAAGAGAAAAUGGUCACAUUCAACGGUUUGAUGAAGUGAAUGAACUUUUCCUCCAACUGCUUGAUGAUAUUGUUUAGGUCAACUUUUUUGCCUGCCGUUUGCAGUGAUGACAGUUAGUGACAUAUUGUUAAAAGAGGUGUGGACAUCCUGGUGAAGUUCCUCUUUUUUGUUUUUCCUGACUAUGUGCUUGGGUAAGAUUUCUUUGGAAGAUUGUUUGCUCGAGAAAAAUGUUUUAUGGAUUCAUUAGGAAUUAUCAUCUAUCCGCUUAGAGGAUAUAUUGAUUUCUUGGCAAACUUCAGAAAUGUAUCCUUUUGAUGUAGUGAAAAUUGAACAAAAGCCAAUGCUUUGACUUCGUAUGCUUGCAUCUGCCAACUUUGCCUUAGUAGUUACUGGCAAAAUAUGAAAACCUUUCCCACCAAAUGUUGAUACUUAUGAUCUUUCUCAUUGAUUUGCAACGUUUUUCUAUUGCACUGUAAAUUUUGAUGCUAUUGGUUAACAUUGCAACAUGGCCAGCAUCGUAAGUUCUCUUCAUGUUUUGUUAUCCUUAAUGAUCAAGUUCAGGGCCCUCCUAUUUCUUUACUAUGAGUCGUUAGGCUGAAAUUACUGACAAUAUUUUAUUUCCCACCUUUUAUCAAUUCACAUGGCCAGGUGCUAGUUUACCAUGAUCUCUUAGGGAUGCUACAACACCCACAUCAUGCUAAGGUUUGGGAUUUUAUUUCGCUUUUCUGGAUCUUCCACUUUUCUCAAUCUCCUUGCCUUCAUAAAAUACCGGAUUUGACAACUCAUUAGUGCUUGAUACGCAAUUAUUGCAGGUUACUCCAAGGUUCUGCAAACAGUAUGCACAUGUCGGAGAUGUCAUCAAUAAAGCUCUUUUGGGGUACAAGGAAGAAGUAACAAGUGGUUCUUUUCCAAGCUCUGCCCAUAGUCCAUAUAAAAUUUCUGCUGCUGACGUGGAUAGCUUUUCAAAAGAGUUAGAGAAACUUGGACUGAGUGAUGCAGCAUCUGCAGCUAGUGCUGCUGCUGAGAAAUUGAAACCACUGAAUAAUCAGGUGGGAGAACACCAAGCAACUAAAUGAGCUGCAGAAGCAGAAGGCUCAUGACAAGCUUGCCCCACUUCUUGUUCAAACAGCAAAAGUUUGCACUUGUUUGGCUCUUCAUUCUUAAUUUUAUUGAUUCAGUCAGGAUUAUAAGCAUCAAAAUAGGAUUUUGUUGAUUCAGAAUGAGUAUCAAAUAGGGGCAUUUUACUUUUGAGUUUUGAUGGAUUCAGAAUAAUCCUUUUCCAAGAAAAUUUCUUGGUUACAAAACUCACAGCCUUGGAUGAUUUCUUUUCUGUGAUAGAAAUUUGAAGAUGCUCUUGUGGCAAUUGCAUUUUAACUGACCUGCAACGUCAUUAACAGGGAUUUCACAGUUCUUGCCCUGCAUUUCUCAAUAAUACGUCUGGUUUAGAAGCCAUUUUAAUCAAUUUAUGAGUGGUUUUUCUUUUUUAUGGUAUAACUUCCUUGCUGAUGGUCCUUAGCUAAUGAAUUUAGUACUGCUAAACCCCCAAAAAAAAUGGAGUUUAGUACAAACUAUUUAAUCUUACACUCGUGUCAAUCUCCCUGGUAUUGAACGUUUGUUUCAUCUUCCUUUUCCAUGAAUAUUUACUCUGCCUAUUAAGUUAGACAAGAAAUCCGUUGUUAAAUACCAUUAGAGUGAUUCUUCGUCCGUCUAUUGAUUUCCUUUUUGCCUUUUUGUUAAAAAAAAAAAAAUUCCUACCGUGAGAAGAUGUGGAAUUCAAGAAAUGAAGAGUAGUAAAAGGCAAUUUGACCCAAAAAUCUCCAAAUCCUGAAAUUUGAAACUUAACCACUAAAUAAAAACUUCUUCAGUCAAUUUCCUUUUUGCCUUAUUUACUUCAUAUGCCAAUGAUUGUGUUACAGCUUACGAAUGCAUUUUUCAUUGUGUUAAUGCCCAAUCAGGGCCAGAAUAAUGCCCAAUCAGGGCCAGAAAAAUGCCGCUAUUAAGAUCUUAGCAGUCCUGUUUCCGUUGUCUUUGAUUUUUAUUAAAAAGAGAUCUCCCUUUUAUUAAUGAAGGAAAAAGAACUUGGAAAAUGUAGUAAAUAUUUGUUUAACAGAAACACGUAGUAAAAGCUUGACAGAUAAUUAGAUACCAUGACUCGUUUAUUCAACAUUAGUUACUACCAUGAGAAAUGAGAAGUCUCAAAAAAUAAUAAAAUACAAAAGGAAAAUUUAUCAAAUUGGUCCCUCACAUUUUUUUAAAAAAAAACUUUUUUAGUCUCUUACAUUAAAAAUCAGCCACAAUAGUCUUUCAAUAUAAAAAAGCCUACUCGAUUGGUUCCAAAGCUCAUUUUUGCUUACUUUUUCGGCCAAAAAGUACAUAUCUUUCUUACAUGCCUAUAAUUUCAAGAAUAAAAAUGAAAACACGCUUCGUUUUCUCUCUUUGUUUGUUGAAAAAAGGAAACUGUAAGCCACCAAAUCCUUUUUUCCCCCUUGCUCCCUUUUUAGCUAUUAAAACCCUAGUUGUAAGCCAUCAAACAUCCAAUCAAAGAAGAAAAUUUCAGUAUGGUCACUUACAAGUAGUAAAAGAAGAGCAGAAAAAGACGUCUAAAAAGCUCAUCCAUUGCAAAGUACAAUGGGAACAAACAAUGAUCAAUCUCAUUGUGGCAAAGAACCCAUGAUUGUGAUUUCUUGGAAACCUGCAAAUCCGAAAGGGAGAUUCUAUGGCUGCCAAAACUACGAAGUAAGCUCGAGCAUAUUUCAUUUUGGUUAUCUUAGAAAAAUUGGUUCUUAAUAUUGAGUGAAAAUUAGUUCUUGAUAUGUGCUGUUCUUGCAUUUUAGGUAAAUCGUGCUUGUCACUAUUUCAAGUGGUAUGACUCCCCAGUGUGCAAUAGAUCAGUGUCAAUAAUACCUAGCUUAUUAAAGGCCAUCAAUCGGUUGGAAACCGAGCAAGAAAAGAUAAUUUGAAAAGAAAAAAUUACUUUGGGCUACUUUACUUACUUUUUGAAUGUGCAUUUUGUUGAUUGUGUUGAAUAAGAAUUCAAUUAAAGUCCAAAGAAGAAACAAAACAUAUAACGAGUGUGUUUGGACAGCCAAUUAUUUGGCCAAAUAUAUUUGCUGACAUCACCAUUACAAUUUCCAAUACACCUUUUUAUCUUUCCAAUUACCUUUUUAUCUCACAUACAUCACAUCACAAAAAGUGUUACAGUAAAAAUAUUUCAAAUAACUUACAAUCCAAACACACUCAACGUAAAAGCAAUGUGAUCUUUGUACCUUCAUUGUUGGCACCAUUGUCAACAUGAUAUUGAAGAAUGAAAAAGUUAAAAUCUCUCUCGUUCAAUCGAAGUUUAUAUUUAGGAUUUUGGUGGCUUAUGUAUUUCUUAAGAGGAAAUGAAGUAUGUUUUCAUUUUUGUCAUUGAAAUUAUAGGCACGUGAGAAAGGCGUACACCUUUUGGCUAGAGAAGCGAGCGAAAACGAGCUUUAGGAUCAAUUGGACAAACUUUUUUUAUCUGAGGGACUUUUGUGGCUAAUUUUAAAUAUGAGGGACUAAAAAAAAAUUUUUUUUUUUUUGAAAAUGUGAGGGGCUAAUUUGGCAGAUUUUCCAAUAGAGGGAGAAAUGUGCACUGGAAAGCUUUAGAGCUCAAACCCACUUCAUAUUUUCUUGUAAAGAGCCAACCUUUGGUUGCGAUUCACUAUCUUGCUUCACCACUUCAGAGUCCAACAACUGAAAAGCACAAAAAGUUUGAGACUUUUUUGACUAGGGAAGAAUUUUAUAGCAAGAGUUCUGGAAAUAUAGUGCUCAAUCCUCACAUUGUGCAAAAAACUUUGAUAGAUUGCCGUUCGGAUGUAGUUGCUUUAAGCUUUUUCUUGUGGUGUGCUCGCCAGCCAGAUUAUUUCCAUGAUAGGGCCGCCUUUUCUCAUAUGGUGAAUGUAGUUUCUCGGCUUAUUCAAAGAUUCUCCACGCUUGGAGGAAUCCUUGAGGAAUUAGCUCAUGUUGGUUGUGCGACAAAACCUCAGACUUUGCUGCUUUUGUUGAGAAUUUUCUGGUAUGGGAAAAUGUAUGAGCUAGUUUUCGAGGCUUUUGAGGAAAUGCUGCGCCAUGGUUACACCCCAAAUACUUUUGCUCGCAAUAUCGUUGUGGAUGUGCUGUUUAAGAUUGGGAAGGUUGGCGCAGCGCUUAAAGUUUUGGAGGAGACUGAGGUACCAAAUUUUUUGUCAUUUAGUAUUGCCGUAUGUAAUUUGUGCAAGCUCAAUGAUUUGAUUAACAUGCGCAAUGUGCUUAGGAACAUGUUGAGAAAUGGUUAUUCUCUUAAUCCUGAGACUUUUUUGUCUGUGUUGAAUUGUUAUUGCAAAUUGGGUAGACUGGAAGAGGCAUUGCAGCUAUUAAGUCUUAUGAUUACUUUGGGUGUUCCUACCUCUGUGAGUGUGUGGACUGUGUUAAUUGAUGGAUUCUGUAAGCCUGGCCAACUUGAUGUUGCGAGUUUUUUACUGGACAAAAUGGUUCAGAGUGGAUGUUCUCCAAACAUUGUGACAUGCACUUCUUUAAUUAAAGGAUUUCUAGAAGCUAAGAUGCCUAACAAGGCUUUUAAGAUCUUAAGUACCAUGGAGUCCAGGGGAUGUUAUCCUGAUUUGUUUCUUUGCAAUGUAUUAAUAGAUCGUCUAUCUAAGAUGGGAAGAUAUGAUGAAGCACUUGAUUUCUUCUUUAAUCUGCAAAAACAAGGAUUAAUCCCCGAUCCUUACACUAUAUGUUCUAUUUUGUCUGCCAUCUGUUCUUCUCAGGAGUUUCUUCUUCUACCUUUAUUAAUCAGUGGACUGGUCAUAGAACCUGACUUAGUGAUGUGUAACUCCCUUCUAAAUUAUUUCUGCAAGGCCGGUCACCCAACUGGCGCCAUUGAGUUUUACAAUGACAUGAUACACAGGGGUUUUAAGCCAGAUAAAUAUAGUUAUGCUGGAUUACUGAGUGGACUUUGCAGGUCAGGUAGGAUUCACGAGGCAGUUAAUGUGUAUAAUGGUAUUGUUCAAGAACAUCUUGGCCUUGAUGCUCAUCUUCAUACCAUAAUCAUUGAUGGGCUUAUAAAAACUGGCAACUUCCACAGUGCAAUCAAAUUUUUCAGGAAAGCUGGUCUAGAAAAUUUCCCUCUGGAUGUUGUGUCCUAUACUGUAGCCAUCAAUGGACUCCUAAAGGGCGGUCGAGCUGGAGAGGCAUAUAAUUUGUUUUUCCAAAUGAAGGACCUUGGUAUAACUCCUAAUAUAUACACAUAUAAUCUGGUACUCUCUGGUUUCUGCAAGGAUAGAGAUGUCAAAAUGAUUAAAGGAAUUCUUCAAGAAAUGUCUGAUGUGGGGGUGGAGAUAGACAACGGUACAUUAAAUUUGAUGAAAAGUUUCCUCUACAAAUGGCACUGCUACCGUCCAGUAUUUGAGCUUUUUGUGGAGUUGUGGGAUUCUGGAUUGCUGCCAAAGAAAAUGUAUGCUUUAUUGACUGAUGAACUUGGUCGUGGUCUUUUAGCUGAUGAUGCACCUAAAAAGUUCCAGAAGCUGGCAUUGUAGGCUCAGAUGAAUUGUGCGGUUUGGCUGCUUCAGUAGGUUGACAUAAUGCCUGGGAGAGACUUGGCUUUGUAGUUUUCGCUGACUGCAUAAUUUCUUCUCCUCAGACAGCUGUGUCAUUGUGUCAUCCACUACAUCUUAGCUCAGACCAGGGUUAAAGAUUUUAUUGAGAUCUUGCAGUCUGAGGCUUGCAGCUGCAGGUCUUCUGAGGUUUCAAGUGAAUUUCCAAAACUUUCACCGCUAUAAGCUAAGAGGGAGCUGAUUAUAGGUAAGAUUGCACUUUUCCUGUUUAUGCAUACGAGGUAGGAUUACAUUUGAUAAUUUGAAUCGGUAACACCUUGUCUGCAUGUAGGUAAUUUAAAGUCAUACAUGAUUCAGAAUCUAAUGUGAUAAACAAUUUAAAGUAUUGUUCUUAUGUUCUAUUGGCAUAACAAUUAGGCUCAUGAUUCUUUAUGGAAAAGUAGAAUGGAGCUGAGUUCACUGGAAGUUUUUCUACUUUGGCUAUAAAGGAGCUUCAGUAAAAGUAUGUUCAUCCAUAUGAUAGAACCGGUUCACCCAUUAGACUUGCACAAGAUUCAGUCUGAUCAACUUGGUUCGUCUAAAAGCUUACAAUGGUAUGUUACUUUGAUUUAUGUUUAUGUUUGGUUUCGACCCCUUGAUUUUGACAUACUUUUCAGUAUAUUGGUUGCUGCCUACAGGUGCAGAGUAAUAAAAUUUUAAGGUCUGUGCAGAAGCUCUGCGCAUUGGCAACAAUACUGCAGUUGAACCUUAUUGCAAAAAUAAUGGGAAGAAGACAGAAGAUGAACUAAUCAUUUUACCUUCAAUAUGUGAAUCAUUGCGUGUUCGGUAAGUGCAUUUACUGACAAACUGCUAUUUCCUUUGAAGAGACUACACACACUUACUCUCUCUCUUUCUCUCUAUCUCUCUGCUCUUUGUUCAGGGGGUUGCAUUGUUAUUUAGUCCAUAGAUCAAGAGAUGGGCUUGCACAGUUCAUGCAAUAAUCCAGCGUGACAUUGUAUUCCAGUUCUGUUGUAUGACAAUAUGAUACAUUAAUUUCUCUGACAGCCCCAAAGCGGCUUGGUUUCAAGAUGUAAAUACUUUAUUGACUUCCCAAGCACAUGCAGCAGAAGAUGGGAUGGUCAUCUGAAAUCCCAUACGGCAGAAUAGUUUGAUCAAGUGGAGCAUUAUUGUUCAACUGGAUGAACGGUGUCAAUCCUGAAAUGCGAUAUUCUGAGCUUGGAACAGAUGAUGUAUGUUGUUGGCUGGCAUUCUGUCAUGAGAAUUCGUGGUCGGCUCUCCGAAUUCAGUAUGGCGAAAAUGAUAUGUUGGUCCAUCUAUUUGGAAUUCGGCCUUACAACGGAGAGAUGCAAAUAAAUUGAUGUUGUUGGUCAAUCGAAAUACCCAUCUAAUAUUUAUCUAGCUUAUAUGAUGUAUGUAUACAUAUUAUUAAUUAUUAAUUUUUCUUGUAUUUAUAUAUAUAUAUAUUUUUUAAUUUAAAUUUACCUAUUCUUUCUUUCUUGUAUUUACUAUAAUUCAAUCAUCUAAAUUAGGAAAGACUUUGUUGUAAGGUAAAUGUGAUAUUUUUUUGUUCUUCUGUUUCUUCCCUUGCUGGCCUGCUGCUAAUUGACGACAUAUUCUACUAGUUGAUUUAUUUUUUGUCCAAGAAAACAAUAAUCAUUAACGAGUAACAGUAGUGUCCUAAUAUUUAGGUAAUUCCUCCAAAGAAAAAGGAAUGUAUUAAUCAAAUCGAAUACAUUUCAACUAAAUAUUUCUCCAUUUAAGCAAUGAAAAGAAAUUUCUAUGCACUACUAGUAGUGUAAUCUCCAAUUAACGUUACCAUUGGCUAUUGAAGAAGAAGGGAAUGCCCAGAAAUAAUUUAAAUCAAAAAUUGCAAGAAAAAACAAAAGGAAAAAUACAGUCCUCUUGUUUUCACCUAUAAAGCAUCAUUUCUACCCACCCUUCCGUUUUUACUCCUCUCCUCCUCUUUUUGCUGCAGAUCUGAUCUCAGAAAAACUCCAAUCGUUUCUUUUUCUCCUUUGCCCCAAAAGGAAAUAAGAAAAUGGCUUCCGCGGCCCCAUCGCCCCGUGAGGAGAAUGUGUACAUGGCUAAGCUCGCCGAGCAGGCCGAACGCUACGAAGAAAUGGUGGAAUUCAUGGAGAAAGUCUCCGCCUCGGUGGGCGAAGGCGACGAGCUCUCUGUGGAGGAGCGCAACCUCUUGUCGGUGGCCUACAAGAACGUGAUCGGAGCCCGCCGAGCGUCCUGGCGGAUCAUAUCGUCCAUUGAGCAGAAAGAGGAGUCACGAGGCAAUGCCGACCAUGUGAAUGCUAUCAAGGACUAUAGCGGGAAGAUUGAGAAGGAGCUUUCGUCCAUUUGUGAUGGGAUUUUGAAGCUUCUGGAUGCUAAGUUGAUUCCGGCAGCUGGCGCUGGUGAUUCCAAGGUGUUUUAUUUGAAGAUGAAGGGGGAUUAUCAUAGGUAUUUGGCUGAGUUUAAGACUGCUUCUGAGAGGAAAGAGGCUGCUGAGAAUACCCUUAAUGCCUACAAGGCUGCCCAGGUAUCUUUCGUUGAAUGUUAUUUGCUGCUUGGUUUUUGUGCUUCUUUUGUUAAAGGUAUUCUGUGUUUGACGGGAUGUUGAUUCAAUUUUUAUUUAUGUGUCCCUUUAUUUUGUGGAUUGAUGAAUUUGGUUUCUUGAUUGUAAAACGUUCAAAGUUUUUAUUUUUAUUUUUCGUGAAUAUUCUGAUAAAGCAUUAUAUGGGGAUUAGUCAUCUUUCUGUUUAAGUUAUAUUUAUAGGUGGUUAUCCGUGAAGAAGAAAGUUUUUGUUGCGUCAAAGUGGAAAUAGAUUUUCUGGUCAAUUGAGAAGGAUGUUUGGAUCAAUCUUUUAUAUUAUCAUGCAAAGGCUGUGACAGAACAUGCGCCAGGGUUUUUUUUUUUCCUUUUCCCUUUUCUGUCACAGCCUUUGCUGGCGUUUAUCAUUGUAAAUAUUUAUUUUUGUUUGGAAUUUUGGUCUUAGUUUGGCGGUAUGUUAGGAUUGAGUCUGGAAGCAAUGACAAGGAUAUACAGAUGCGAGCAAAUUGUUGCUCCAAUCAUGAUCCAGCCUCUAAUUUUGGAGGGUCAAGUUUGAGUAGACUCGCCAUUUUUAUAUAUACUUUUCACUGGGGCUGUCACCAUCUAAUCUAGUAACUCAUGAUCAAUAAUCUAUGUUGGUAUGCUGCUCGGAGUUACAGGUGUUUUAGAGUGCUUUUAAUAGCAGUGAUCUGCUUUUCUCUGCCUUUACUCUUUUGUUUUUUUUCCUCAGCUUUUAAUCGAAAAUUCUUUUUUGCAGGAUAUUGCAAUUGCUGAGUUGGCUCCUACACAUCCAAUCCGACUUGGGUUGGCUCUUAACUUCUCCGUGUUCUAUUAUGAAAUUCUGAGUUCGCCUGAUCGAGCAUGCAAUCUUGCAAAACAGGUGACAGUUGUGUGAUUAGAUAUUUCCUAUUUCAAUUUAAUUGUGGUUAUUGUGUGUUAAGCAUCUAACAAAGAGCCAUCUUUUGGCACCGAAUUUACCUUUUCUUUGGGAUCAUGAGAGGCGUCUUUUCAUUGAAUUUCACGGAAAUGCAGUACAUUUUUAGUCUUUUGCAGCACAUAGUUUACAUUAGUCAUAUAGCGACAGAGAAACUAUGGACUUAUUGAUUGCUUGUAAUUGGGUGCACGCCUGAAGUACAACUGAGCUGGUGGUCUGUUAGAAUGCUUUUCUCUUAAAAUUUUGAUGAACUCAUUUGUCUUUGGUGGCAUAAUGUGUUUAAUUUUCAUGAAUCUCUUGUUCAACAGGCAUUUGAUGAAGCCAUUGCGGAGUUGGACACCCUGGGAGAGGAUUCAUACAAGGAUAGUACUCUCAUCAUGCAACUUCUCCGUGACAACCUGACCUUGUGGACAUCAGACAUGCAGGUAAUGCUGCUUCCUCUCUUUUCCUGGCAGCUGUUUGAUGCCCUUCCAUGUCCAUCUCUUGCAUUGAUUCCAGACAUGUCCUAAAUUUCCGUUUUCUUUUGAUGACGCCUGCAUUUUUUCACGUCACUAGGAUGAUGGAGCAGAGGAGAUCAAAGAGACAUCAAAGCGUGAAGAUGAGCAGCAGUGAAAUGAAUGAUUAAAACCACGGAAUUUUUAAUUUAUUUGUUGUGGUUGAAGUAAUUUUUUCUGAAUGUUUUCUUCACGAGACAUCCAGCCAUUAAUCUUUUAGAGGCACGAGUGAAAAUUCUUCUUGAAAUGCUCAAGAUAUUUCAGUCAUCAUGAAUUAUGAUAUCGAUUAGAUAUAUGAAUUUCAAAUGCCUUUGCAUCGUAAGCAAAAGGCUUUCUAGCCAUUGUUGCCCAGAAGCCUCUAUCUGCCCUUACAGGUCCUUCUGAACAAAAUCCUUUCGUCAUGGAUGUUUGCAUGCGUGAUGAGCUCUUUACCGUGCAAAUUGGCAGCAUGAUAUGUCCUCCCCUCGAAUGCCAGUUGUGGCGUGGCGUUUCUUUCGCCCAUGGCAUAGCAAUAAUAAUCAGUUCCUUUUGUAUGAAUAAACCGUGAUUAAGGCGGCAUUGGCGAGCGAAUUAUAUCGCGCUUGAUUCGAUCCCGGAUCAUCAUUAAAUCAGAUGAUUGACGUUUCUCGUCUGUAUUAGAAAAUUCAAGUAUAAAAAUCUCAACAUGCAUAUGCGCAAUCUAAUAUGCAAUGUUGCCAAUGAACACUUGUGUCUUGACACAAUGGCAAACUUACCAAAGUCGCUAAGCGGAGCCAAAACCCACGUCAUGAUUCAUGCAUGCCCCAGAUCAUUUUUUCUUAUGGUAACACGUACGUAGGGUGCCGUCGAGCCGAGAUGCGCUCAAACUCAAAGGGUAUAAAGUGCUAUUCAAGUUCAAGCUCGAAUGACUCAAGGAGCUGAUGCUUGAGCUUGACUGAGAAAGUUGCAGAAAUAAUUGAGUUUAACUCGAUAAUGUUAUCAAAUAAUGUCGAGUCUUAUCAAACUCGAAAACUCAACUCAAACUCGAAUAUUAAGAUCGAACAAUGCCGAACUUGUAUUAGUAAUUUUGUGUGUGUGUAAAUUAUGAUAUUUAAUAUUUAUUUUUUAAUCAUUUAAUGCAAUGCUCGAUAGAGUUCGUCGAACGUGCGAUUCUUGAACUCAUUCAAUAAUACUUUCAAGUAGUCCAAAUUCGAUCAAAAUGAAUUCCAGUUGAGCUGUUAAUCGAGUAGCUCGCGAGUUCAAGUUGAGCUACUCGCAAGCUACUUGGUUCAUAUCACCUUGAGUAAUAUGAUAGUCAAUUUGAGAUUAAUUGAAUUACUAUGUCAAUUAGUAUAUAACCAUUCAUGUAUGAUAACUAUUCUUACACAAACCCAACAGCGUAUAACAUCAUUAGUAUAUAAAAUAUUAAUCCAAUAAAAACGAGUAUACAAAACUGAUAAAUAUGUCAAUCAUUCACAUUCUUAUAGUUUUCCAUAAUACAUCAUGCAGAACAAUAUUUGACGUGAAAGUCUAAAUUUCAUGAUAUUAUUGGAUGGGAGUGUUUUUCAAAUACAAUAAAAAUUUUUAAAAAGUACUAUAAAAGAUAAUCUAAAAAUUAGUUUAAAUUUUUUUAAAUUUUAAAAAAUAUCUCAAAAUAUAUUCUAGAAACUCUUUUACUCUUAAAUAUCCCAAAAUAUAACCUAAAAAUUCUGCUACAACAAAAUUUUUCAAAAACACCUCCAAAAACAGUUAAUCCAAACGGAGCGUAUGUUUUUUACUUUUUCAAAUUUUCUGGAAUUAAUUCAGCACCCAUCCACGAAUUGCAUGUUUUUUCCUUCAAACAUUUAGGGUAUUGCAGGUAAGUAGUGAGUAUCAUUUAGUAAUUUUAAGGCAGCAAUAAAGUGUGUGUAAAAUUUUCUUGAAGGUCGAGUAAUUUACUAGCUAAUCUUAUGAUAGCCAAUAUAUAAGUGGGAAAAAAAAAAGAAAUAUAAUUGCUGUAUCAGAAAGAUUAAAAAAAAAUAAAAGAAAGAGAGAGGGAGAGAGAAGAGAGAAGUAAGAGAGUGCAUGCAUUAGGUUGCAUGACGGGCUCUUUUUCAAGUCUUUGAUUUGAUUAGUAGUUGUCGUAGACUCGUAGUGGUAUUAGUUUCCACAUUUCCCCAUUUCCUAUGCAUUGAUUAGUUAGCCUUUCUUUCUUGACGUUAAAUCAAUCAGCCAAGCCCCAAUUUUCCCUCCUUCCCACCUUAAUUACGAUUAAUUACUUUGAACGAAUGAAUCCAGAACGCAAAUGGGCCUACCUAACUAACUAACUGACUUGCUCUACCUGACUUAAACGAUAAUUCGGUUGAGCGAUCAAUCCGAUCAUCAUCGUCGUCGUCGUCGUCUAAAAUGUGGGUGUUUUACUUGAUAUCUCUGCCCUUGACCAUGGGCAUGGUGGCCUUCACUCUCCAUUACUUCGCCGGCCCCGAUGUUCCUCGCUACGUUCGCUUCACCGUUGGCUACGCCUGGUUUUGUUCGCUCUCCAUCAUCAUCCUCGUCCCCGCCGACAUCUGGGCCGUACGUCAUUCCUUCUCUUUCUUCUGCGCCACCCCUUUUCCUUAGCAGGACUAUUACUUCUUCUUCUUUUGUGUUUAAUACAAUUCAUCGUCUUUUCCUGUUCUUUUUCCCCGUCACAUUGCUUUAACUGCUCAUGAUUGCCCACAAUGUUUAUUUUUCCUUUUUCAUCUUUAAUGAAACUGCAUUCGUCUGUUCUCUAUACCAGUAAUGUGUACUUUUCUAUUCUGUACUGCUUGAUUAAUCUUGAAAAUACUCAAAUUCCCUCGUACCGUUUACCAAAAUGCCAACGAGUUUGUUGAUUUUUUGGUGGAUGAGUUCGUGAAGCAUUGGUUUGGUUACUUCUUACAGACCAAACAUCAAUUUGAGUCGAAAAUACACAUAAGCCUUGGAAGAAGAAAUAAAAGAAUAACAGACGGCAAAUAAGUAAAAUAUUGCUUGGAAAUGUAAGACAGCUCGAAAUGUUAUCAUAAUUGGUCAUGUUAAUGGUCUUUAUUUACAGUUAAAUGUCAACAUCGCAAGGAUUUAAACUUGAUAUAAGCUCAGGGGAGAUGCAUAAACGUGAUUUCUCCAAAGAUUUACAUAAAGAUGGGUAAAAUUUAAUCAAGCGCUUACGUCAUUACCUUCCUCAUUGUUCAAGCAGGCUGCUGUAGGUCACGACAAGAACGGAAUUUCUUUCUUCUGGAGCUGGUCAUAUUGGAGUACAUUUAUACUCACGUGGUAAGCUAGCAUGGCUUAUAUCCUCUUCGAAGAAUGCAGUUUUUUUGCUGAAAUUUUUUUAGGAAUUAACAAUCCUGUAUUUUGGUAGCUUAAUAUUUAAUCAAAUGUUCUGGACAAAAUACUUAUCUUUGUUUAGAGUUAAUAUUGUGGUCAAACCAAUUUUACUGUGGAUAUUCUGCAAGUUUUUGCAAGAAAAAAGAAUUGGACAUUUUCAUAGUUUGUCUCUGCAUGUGUAAUUCCCUCUUGGACGGAAAAGAGUAGGUUGUUAGAACUUGAUACCAUGUCUACAUUUGGAGUAUUCAGAGGCUGUUCAUUGAGCUCUAGGUGUUGCUACAUCUCUAUCUUCUUGAUACCUGUACACCUGGUUCACUAUUUUCCUUCUAUUUCCAUUGGUAAGAGUUGGGAAUGAAUCAAUCUUGGCUAACGGUGUAUUGCAUUGUAGUUAAAUAGCAUGAGCAGGUUUACAAUUUUCUGUGCUUCUGUUUAUCUUUGUUUUUCUGUGGUUGUCUUGUAUUGAUUUAUUGUUAGGGUCUUCUUCUGGAAGAGUUCCCAAUGAAGGUGCACAUAUUCUCAUAGAUUUUGUAUGAAACCAUUUCUCUAAGCAGGGCUGUGGUGCCUAUACUUCAGGGUUAUGAAGAUGCCGGGGACUUCACUGUUGCAGAAAGGUUGAAGACUAGUGCUCAUGUAAACUUGGUUUACUACUUGUGUGUUGGCUCUAUUGCACUUUGUGGAGUUAUACUGCUUAUUGUUCUGCACAAAAACUGGUUUGUCUCUUACUCCCACAAUAUAGAAAUCAGUUAAUUGAACGUUAUGUGCUUGGUUCAAAAACUGUAUAUAGAGCAAUAGACGGAGAGAGAUGUAGGCAAACUAUGUUCUUGGUGCUUCUCUAGUGUUUACUGCUUGGAAUCUUUAGAAGAAUGGGGAUUGGUUCGGAAUUUGUGCAUUAUCAAUAUCAUUAUCCUUUCAAUCUUAGUGACUGAGCAACUAUUGGUAUGAGGGGAAAGUCAUAGUUUUGACAAUGGAUCCUGGGAAUUCUAUGCCCCUUUUCACUUUUUAAUGCAAGAAUGUCUUCUUGAUCUGAAAUGAAGCACAUGUAUUUGCAAUGCACGUGUCAGGAUUGGGGUGCCCUUGUCAACUGCGAUCAUGAAGGCAUCAUGAAUUAUAUUCAUGUUCAUGCUUAUUUGCAUUUGCAUACCAGAAUCGUGAAUGGGUAUGCAAAGGUAGUAGCAUAGAUGGUUUACAGAAUUGUCUGUCUCCUACCUGGUUUUCUUCUUCCCCCUCUCUCCUUUCAUAAGGGGAGAAUAGCAGAGAAAUGUGAAAGAUAAAAUAGAUGAAUGACACAAAAAAAAAGGAUGUCUAGGAGUAAGUUAUGCUGGCAUAACUUAAUCUAACUUCUAACACUUGUAUCUUGGGUUCAGGUUUGUGAUUUGAUUGGAAAAGAAUCACUUAGCUAGAUAGUUUUUGCAGAUUCUUGUGCUAAUGAGCUAUAUUUUGCAUCUACCUGAAUUUGCCUGGUAGACUUGCGAGAGUAUGCAUGUCAUCGUACUUAUUACAUGCAUAGAAUAACACACAUGCAUAUAGUUCGUGUGAUAUGAACAACAUGGUUCCAUCUUUCCAAAAUAUUCCUUUAGCUUAGUUUCUCAUAUUUUGUUUGCUUACCAGUUGACAGUGGACAUUCAAAUUUAUGAAGUUUCCUUAGUUUGUAUGAUUGUUUUACUUUUAUGCAGGGGUGGAAGUAUACGUGGUUUUGCUAUGGCUUGCUCAAAUACAUUUGGCCUGGUUACUGGUGCUUUUCUUCUUGGUUUUGGUUUGAUUGAAAUACCAAGGGGCAUUUGGAAAAACGCUGAUGGACCACUCGUCAAAAGUUUCUUUCUCACAUAGUAGCUAAAAUGGCUGUUAAACUUGAUGAUGCUCAUCAAGAUUUUUCAAAUGCUAUUGUAGUAAGUUCCAUUCUUUGCAAAUUCACCUAGUAUUUGUUCUUAUAUUCACUUGGAUGCAAAUCAUUUCAAGCUAAAGUUUCUGAAUUUGAAUUGCUAUUAUUUUUCCUUAGUAAUAAAACUCCUAUCUCAAAGUACGUAGAGAGAGAGAAGGGGGGGGGGAGGGAAUGAGAGAAGAUUGAACAGAAAUGAAUUGCUUGGGUGUGAAAAUUUCUCCUGGACUCUAUGGUGAUAUUUAAUACUGUGGUUAUUCGUUACACUAGGUUGCCCAAGCAACAUCAAGGCAGAUGUCGAAGCGUGAUCCUUUGAGACCUUAUAUGAGUGUUAUCGAUAAAAUGUUGGCUCAGAUGGUAGGGAGUAAGCUUAUUCUGCCUGUGUUUUCUGUUUUGUGCUUUGUAUCCAACUGCUUAUGUACUCUGCUUCUUUAUCUCCCAGUUGUUACUAAUUUUUAAAUAACCAAAUGAUUGACAGCUCACUGAAGAUUCUUCUUUCAAACCCCAAGGUGGAAGGUUAGGUGAAAAUGAUAUGGACUAUGACACUGAUGAAAAAACAAUGGCAGCACUAAGGCGUCAACUAAAGAAAGCACGAGAGCAAUAUUACAGAUAUAAGAGGUAUAUUUUAUCAAACAGAAAUAAUUAUCAUGAUUGCCUCUGGAAUUUUGUUCAAUUCCAGAUGUUGCUUUGUUGUUCUAUGGAUGGGCAUCUUCAUGUCACUUUACUUUUUUCACAAAAUGUAGUAUUUGUAUAGUCCUUGGCACCUAUUGUAGUUUGAGGUAGGAUUGUUUUUAGUUGUUGAUCAAGAUACUCUAGAUUUCAUAAGUAUUUUGCUCCAUUAUUCUCAUCUGGUAAUAGUUUCUUGAUAUUUGUUAGAGCCUGUUUUACAAUUUUUCUUCCAUUUUGAACUUCCAUGGUUUUUUGGUUUGGAAGGAAUCGGACACCGACGAAGAAAAUUGGACAAUGUGAUACAUCUUUACAUAGAAGCUCUACUUAGAGAGUUAGAAAUUUACCUUGAGAUUUGUUAUCAUAUGAUAUCUUGGCAACAACUUGUCUUUUUUCACUUAAGAGAAUUAGAACUUUUACAUAAUUUUCAAAAGCCAGUGCACUUCAUACUUGACAUUAAUGAAUUGUAAGUUAACUUUUUCUUUUGUAUGAGUAAACACAGUAGAAAGCAUGUUAUUCAUGUUUUACUUGAGCUGUGAGAAACUUAACCUGGGCAAAACUCUAAAAUGCUUUCAUUUUUAGAGUUUGACUUUAUAUAAACAUCUACAUUUGAUAAUUUCCUCCAUUCUUUUACACUGCAUUGGUGACAGACCUAAUAUAUGUUUUCUUGCUCUAAUACAGUGAAUAUAUGAAAUACGUCACAGAAGCCCUUGAGCUGGAAGAUACUAUAAAGAAUUAUGAGCAUCACACUGCUACUGGAUGGUUUGCUCUUGCUCCAGGACUUUUCCCUUAUGUCAUAAAAUGUCUAGCCAUAUAUAUGUCUGCUGAGUUUCUAUGCUACCUUUGCCAAAAGUUAGCAAUUGCUAUUUAUAUUCUUGUACUAUUCUGUAUCCAGUAGAAGAUCCAUUCAUGCUUCAUACUUUUUAACUUGACUGUUUCAGCUAACAAGGUGAUCUAAGGUUACAGAACUUUUUAUUUGAUGUUUUAGGUAGACCUGAAGAAAAGGAAAUGAAAAUAGGAAAAGUAAGAAGAUAAGUUUUAAAGCUGUCAUAUGUGAAAGGCAGCUCGAAGUUCAAUUCUGUUUUGAGAUGUUGGGUGGCUGUAAAUCGGAAAUACUUCCGGCGAAGUUUGUGCACCCUGUCAUGUUGCAACUUUGUUUGUGAGUUAAGGAGCUUAGGAAUGACUUACUGUGAGGCAGGCAGGCUUGGGUGUUACCAGGAGCUAAGCAGUUGGUGUACAGAUCUUUUUUGAGAAAUUGCAGCAGAAGAAGAAUCCAGGAGUUAAUAUGAAGAGGAUCUUGUUAAUAACAGCAGAUCAUAGUAUUUUCUAAUCGCUUAACCUAGUAGAGCUGAGAAAAAAUAACACAGAAAUUUACUGAAAAUUGAAGUGAGGGGUGACUCUUGACAGAUUGCUAAAGUUUACCAGUUUCAAACCUGGAGGUUCCUAGUUCAGUAUAUGGCAUCACAUCCAUAGAAAUCAUCGGAUUACGCUGUGCUUAAUCCCGCUUGGGGGGUGGGGGGGGGAAGGUUUGGUCAUUUUUUGCAUCAAGAUGGCUUAUAUGCAUUUGCCUUUUUAUCUGAUCACUUUUAUGAGUCAAACAGUUGAAAGCUUUUGAACCUUUUUCGUCAUUCUUUUAACCCUUUGAAUUUUUUUAAAAUGAUCAUAUUUUCCCCUUUUUUAACACGAAUUGUCAUUGCUGCCCAGACUUGCAGUUAAACGUUCUUUUUGUGUGUGUAGUCCUCUGCUCCUGACUACUGCAUAUUAAGUUUCACUUUGAAUGUUUGUGCCAAGUUUAUCUAACUUAAAAGUUUUUGUACUUCUGCAGGAGAUAUAUUUCGAGCUUUAGGGCUGAAAGAAGUGGCAAACUAGGGUCUGUUCUUGAUGUGAUUGGUACAUUUUAGACUUUUAAGUUUCACUUUUGUUCUAGAUCCCCAUCAUACUCCAAUUAACUUGCAUCCUUCCCUUGGUCAAAACGAGGUGAAAUAGAAGAAUAAAAAUGUAAGCUUAUUAUGCUUAAGAACAUGUAAUGUGAAGGUAAUUCAAAAUGCUUUCAUUUGGGCAUAUAUUUGCGUUUUUGGGACAAGGUGAGGUCAAUAGUAUUUUUGUGGACCAAUUUGGUUUCUUAUGUUAUGCUAGACAAACAUAUGCACAAAGCUGUUUUUCCUAUGGUUCCGCUAUCUCUUUUAAUAAUAUAUGAUAUUAAUUUUCAUAAACUUGGCCUGGUUUUGUACUUAGGUUGAAAUUUUCAUAGACUGACUUUUCAUUAUUAUAAUAAUUUUUGUAGAGCUGGUCUGGCGCUGCAUACUAAGAAAGCAGCUUGAGAAAUUUUUGGCUGUAAUAUUGGGUUCCAUAUCAGCCGCGAUUCUCCUAGCCGAGGCAACUAUUCUGCCCAAUGGUGUUGAUUUAUCUCUUUUCUCUAUCCUGAUAAAUGCUGUAGAAAAGCAUGAGGUGCUCGUGCAGGUAGAGUUUCAAUUUCAAUACCAGUUUGUUUGAUAGGUAAAGCUUUUCCAUUGAUAAAGAGUAAACUUCUGGUCCCAAAUGAUAAUAUUCAUCAUUGACAUUUGAAAUUUUAGACUUGAAACCAAAAAAAUUCAAUUUAAAAGUGAUCAUGGGAACUAGUUAGUUCUUGAAGAAUAUCUGGUCAUACUGGUUGUGUGUUUGCAGUUCAAUGCUAGAAAGCGGGGAUGGUUGGAAUAGAGUAUGGGAACAGUGAAGGUGGGAGAUUGUGUAAUGAUUAGAUUUACCAGGCACGUUGAGAGGUUUAAGUCUAAAGCUACGUGGUUUGGGACUAGGAGUUGGUUGAUUGUCUGGAAAAACUGAGCCUCAAUAGCUAUCACGAGAGCAUGUGGUCCAUAGUUUAAAUUCACUCGUGGGGAUUGAGUACCUUCUCCCGAAUGCUCUCCAUUCACUUGUCUCUUCAUUAUUUUCAAAGGUUUAGUUACUUUUGCUGAUUAUUUGCCCACUUGGAAUGAAGGACAUGCUGGGAAGAUAAAUUUAUCAUAUAAAAGUGUCUUCCUUCUGUUUCCACAUACUUUAGUUGCUUGGAAUUGAAACUUAUACAGAUGUCAUUUAACUUAGUUUCUUUCAAUGUUACUCUCAAGGGUAUAGAUUGAUGAUGCAUGAUUAAUUUAUGAUAGAAAUAGCUUCAUUGCGUCAGAGGGCCCUGAUUUGUACUUAUGCACUCUGUUAUACUCCAGCAGCUGGAGAUUAGUCCAAAUCAUAAUGGUCUGUAUAAUAUUUGUCAAUGAAUCAAAAAUUGGCUUGCAGUUUAUUACUUUAAAGCCUUUUUCCUUGCUUACAAAUAGGCCUUCUUAUUAUCUAAUCAAUUAUUACUUUUUCUCCUAUUUUACAUACUAAUAUUAUUGAUUUACACUGUAUUUGUUUUUUCUUCUCUUAUUAUUUUGCAUCUUGUUUUGUUGCAGGUUGCUGCUUUUGUUCCUUUAAUGUACAUGUGUAUAUGCACAUACUACUCCUUGUUCAAAAUUGGAAUGUUGACAUUUUACUCCCUGACACCAAGGCAAACAAGUUCAGUCAGUCUGCUCAUGAUAUGCUCGUUAGUUUCUUCUACCUGUCUUCUCCCUCCCUCUUUCUCUUUUAAAUCCUGUUUGCGCAUCAUGAAUGCAGUGUAAGUGUUUAUGCUUUGAAUUUAAUCUCAGUUAUUUAAAAUUUCACUAGGAUGGUUGCUCGGUAUGCACCACCAAUUUCUUAUAACUUCCUCAACCUUAUUCAUCUUAACAACGGUGCUAAGACCAUUUUUGAAAAGGUAAAGUUAUUUCUUGCUCUUAUUCUUAUGAUCAAUGUUGUUUAUUGCAUUUUCCAUGCGGGAUGAUGAAUUAUAAAUUGGGAUUGCAAUGAGAGAUUAGCAUCCUAAAUGAAUUCUUCAAAUGCUGAGAAUAUUGGAUAAGUAUGUUGGUUGUCAUGAUGCAAUUAUAAAAAUCAACUGGAAGGCAUGGAGUUUGCUUAUGUUCUUCCUCUUUCAGUUUUGGCUGAUGUAAGUUUUAAUGAUCUCUUUUCAUUUGCAGAGGAUGGGGAACAUAGAUGAUGCUGUCCCUUUCUUUGGCAAAGGUUUCAAUAAGAUUUAUCCACUUAUAAUGGUCAUAUACACCAUACUGAUAGCAGGCAACUUUUUCGAUCGUGUCCUUGAUUAUGUUGGCAACUGGAAGAUAUUCAGAUUUCAGAGUGAGCAAGCUGAUGAUUUAGAUGGAUUUGAUCCCUCUGGAUUAAUUAUAUUGCAGAAAGGUGGGUGAAAAGGAUCUCUCCGUUUUAACCUUGUAUUGCCAAUGAUUAACCUCUAUUUCUCUUUGCUGCAACCAAAUGGAUUAAAGAAAUAUGAAAAAAAAAAAAAAAAA